GCCGAGGAUGGAGAUCUCUCCGAGAACGAGAGGAAUAGGAUCGGAACAUAUCGCCGCAGCGAAAAGGAAACGUCGCGACGGCGUUUAUUUUCGAUCGAACGCGACAGACGGUGAGACGACCGCGGUCGUUCCGCGGCUGCCCGCCACGGGUUCGAAAAGGGUCGCGCGUGUAUUCUUGGACACGUCGCUCUACGCAGAGUCUUCAUCCCGUCGCGGUCGAAGGCUUAAGAAAGUUUUCGAUGUGUAACUCGACGCCUAAUAGUAGCCCGUGUCCCACUAGAGACACGUUGUCAACGCGAGUCGGACACGGGGACUCGGCGUCCGACGAGAGGUGGGGUAUAUAAAGUGCAACGACACGUCGCGGAGAGAACGUCGCGGCGGUGUAGCGUCGGUGCUGUUGAAGUCGCAGGGAAUCCUUCGCGGCCGACUGGCAGGGAAGGCCGAGACAGACGACACACGUUACGCGCCGCUGUUCCAAUUUUGGAGACUCCUGUAAAUAGCUCGGAGACCAGCGGCCUCCGACGCGCAUACAUAUCAAAGGGCUUGGAAGUAAAUCGGUACGUUUCACGAGGAACCAUGCGCGCGAUUUUCGCGGAAACAUCUCACUCGAGCAAUCGGCGUCGGUGCCGUGGAAUUUCUUUGCAAAAAUUAGGAUCGUCCCGAGCAAGGCUGUGAAGUCUUCUGAAUCGCCUCAAUGAGAGACACGGUUCAGAAGAAAACGGUCUGAAGAGGAUAGAAACUUGUUGGAUGAGAGAAGGUAACACUCCAUUAGCUAAGAGAGAUGGAUCGAAGGAGAUGGAAUGGCUCGACGAUAGUAAAGCUGUCUCGGAAAGGAGGCAGGAAGUUUAGCUCCUUCGAAAGAGAAAUCGUUCGGGAAAGUUUGAAGACACCUCUCGGAAGAGAGUUAAAAAUACGAUCUAUCAAGAAAGAAAUGGUUGAGAGGUUGAUAGAGCCUUCGUCUGAAUGACUGGAAAGAAGGCGGGAUCCGUUUCUUGAUGGCCGUACCAGGAAUGAAGGUGCCGCUCUGUAAGAUCUCUUUGGUGGUAGCGGAAUGGCUCGAGGACGGUUCAAAACUACUUUGGAAGAGGAUCUCCUCGCCUGAGGAUAAUCGAACCUCUCAGAAGAGGGGGGCAGCUGAGAAGAUCGAGAAAAUCCUCCCGGAAGAGCGCGAUUCGACGGAAACCUGGAAGCCGUGCCGAGUGCGAAAAGUGCCGGAAUCCCUCGUGGUUGCUCGCGAAGCAGACAGGUGGGCGCUGCUUCCGCGAAGCCCCGGACGUAUAUAUGGCGUCUCGGCGUUCUCGCGACGACCGCGACGAGACGCUUUCUCGUUCGUUCGUUCGCUCGCGUCUCACGAUCGACUCAUCCAAACUUACGGCGUCGCGUCGCGCGACGCCACCGACAUUUAAUUCUGAAAAAAAUAAAAAUAACCGAGCCACGCGCUCCUUGACGACCAUACUCUGUGGGAUCCAAUAAACGAACCGGAGAUUUCUCAGCGACCACUUAUUAAACACGGGAAUAGAAAUUUUAGGGGAGUGUUCUGAGGAAUGAUCUGAAUCAAUCGUGCUCCGAAAACUGAGCGACCUGCGAGAGAACGCAGCCAAUCCGCUUUGAGUGUAAUUGAUAACCGCGCGCCGCUUCAUCGUCGCGAUAAGCAUGGCCCGCGGCAAGUAUCCGCACGGCAAAGUUCUCCUCCGUCAUUUACUGUACAUCCGUUUUUUAACGUUAAUAUUUUUAACACUCAUCCGGAUAACCUGAUUUUGUAAUGCAGAUAAUGAUUUCCUAUCUUUGACAGAUUAGUGUAGCGAUGUUUCAUUCACUGAAGGAUUUGCCGCAACUACGUAGUAAUCCACAUAAAGCGACUUUUGCAUGCAGUUCUUCUCUACGGUUUCUUAAAUAUUAUCCCUUGUUCUAUUAUUGCUGAAAAAACGCGAAGAUUUUUAAUUGGAGCCAUGAAUUGAGAAUUUACAAAUAAAUGUAAGCUACGCACUUGCUUUUUGCUUACAUUUAUUUGCGCUUUGUGGCUUGCCAUAUUGUUGCAUCAAGUGGUUAUUUGGAUUAUCGAAUCUAAUUGCAAAUCUUACUUUAAUUAUGGUACGAUCGCGUUUUGCUUUGUAUCAGAAAGAAAAAUCAGAAAGAAAAAGAUUUAAAAACAAUUAUAUAAUUUGUCAAUAAUUGUUACAUAAAAUAUUAUGUAUUUAGUAUACAUACGUAUACUCUUUUGAAUUUCAACUUUGUUGCGUUAUAGCUCUAAAUCUUUAUAACUUAAAGUAAGGAAAAAUAAAUUGUCGUCAUUUUUUAAAUGAUACUUUUAAUUGAAAAAAAAAAAGACAAUGAUUUUCUUCAUGGAAAUGAAGAAGUUUACUCGCGCGAGGAUGAAAUUAUGUCGAUUCCGGUUACCCGGAUAAGAGUUAACUCCACGCUCGAAUGUGACUUACGUUCGUCACGUUCCUGAUUUUUUUUACGUUGGACGACAACGCGAAAAAUCCUUCGACUACUCCUCGGUUCUCCUUCGUCGCGCGGGGCUUCUCGCGGGUCCUAUAAACGUUAAACAAUAAAGUCGUCUACUGCUACCAAUUAAGAGGAUUAAAUCGUUUCCACUAUCUCCUCACUUCUCACACCUCCGCUUCUCGAAUAAACGAAAGAAUCCCCGAAGUCCAUCUUCCCUACCCUCCCCACUUGAAGCUGUAGUGUUCAGGUUGCGACGAGACGACACGUUUCGUAUGUUCGCACGCUCCAACGAGCGCCGCGUGGCACCACUUUUGAUCAGAUCGCGGACUGCGAAUUGAGAAUUUUAUAUAUCGAAGCAAAAAAAAAGAAGAAUAAAAAAACACACGUACACACGAUAAUAAAAGAACAAUGAACGUCGACGACACACACACAAUAUAUUAGUGUCCCUCGGUAAUAUUUUGUCGGGCCGAGGGGCGUUUUUAUAAGAAUGGUUUUAGAUCUCCGAACAAAUUUUGCGAAGCGAACCAAACGACUCUACUACUAAACUAAAAUAAAUAAAUAGACUCUUUGACUUCUCGGCCAUACGUAACAUAAGAUAAUAAGGGCCGAAAACGCGCGCGCCCUUGACAGAUGCGAAGAAUAUCAACCCGCCGUUUUGUCCAUUCUUCGUGAGAGAGAGAGAGAGAGAGAGAGAGAGAGAGAAAGAGAGAGAGUGAAAGAGUGGGAGAGAUAGAGAGAGAAAGAGAGACCUAACGCAAAUGAGAUAUAAUUUAAAUAAGAAUACAAAGUUUAUAUUCGAGGCAAUAUUUGUUAUAAUACGAUUAGGGGAUAAGUUGUGUGUACCGUUUUGAAGAAAAAUAAGGGGCUUCGGCCGAGCGAACGCGCGCGGGUGGGGGACGAUCCCCGCGACGAUCGCCGACGGCGAAGAGGACGCUGAAACCGUUGUCGAUCGUAUUAAGGGGACGACGUAUCGACGCGGGGAGAAACGCGUGAAUGCGAAAGCAGAAGGAAAAAAAAAAGAAACAAUGAAUAAACAAGAGGUACUAAGCUGAAGCGACGCGCGCCGAUUCACCGCGCGUCGCGUCCGUCGUUUCGUUAUCGCACUUGGACUCACGGUUGCGUUCGUGUUCCAACGAUAUAUAGAUUAUUUUAUCUCGGGGGAACCCACUCUUCUCCCCGAGGGAGAAGCGAAAAAUUGUUUUACAUCACAUUCUUAUAUUUUUAUUAUUAUUAUUAAUAUUAUUAUUCUGUAAUUAUAUGUGUAAAAUUUAGGUCGCCCGUAGAGAGUACACAUCACAUUUUACCCGAGGAACCCUUCGAAGUUUUGAUUUAGUGAAACAGGACCUAAAACGUAAGGCAAAUUAGACUCUAAGCAGCUUAGGACGUGUAAUCAUAUCAUACAGUUUUGUAGAUAAAUAUAUAUAUAAAAUACAUAUACAUAUAUAUAAAUAUAUAUUUAUGUGAUGCGCAGUGCAGCGUUUAAAUCAAGAGUGUAUAUCGCUGCGUACUCGAUACCCAUUCGAUGACUGAAUAUUCGAGAUGAAAUAUCACCCUGUCAUAUAAUUUCUCGAGGUCAAAAAAUCCAUUUGAUUUCAAUCUCGAAUAUUUUGGAAAAAUCUUUCUCAAUCUCUCCUAAACGAAUUUGUUUUAAAUUUUUACAUUAUUUAGAAAAAUUAAGCAAUUAUUUUUAUCCAUGACUAUUCAAUAUUGAAAUUUAUCAUUACUUUUACUCGCUUUUAUCUACGUAUCUUUAUUUCUUUAGGAAGUAUAAUAAAUUGAUGAAAAAAAGGGAGGAGAGAAAAUGUAUGAAAUCAUUCGCAUCUCUUUUUUUUUAAAAAGUAAGUUGAUGUAUUUCUAUCUUAUUCUUUUUUUGAGGAAAUAGAGAGAGAGAGAGAGAGACGCAUCUUCAUUUUCGAGGGAUUGUAUAACAGCGGUGUUUCAUUUUCUGUGGCAUCUCGACGGAGCGACACUCUCGCGCGAUGAGAAUCCCGCUCCGAGCUUAACGGCGGCGUCGUAAAAGGACGGCACGCCAGAGUCGAGGGAUCGAGCACGCGCAACCAGACUGUCGCUUAUUUUCUGACACUUUACCCGCGCGCUAAGACUCCGGUAAAGCAAGGAACGUACGUAGAACGUAUUUACAACGAACGCUCGCUUAACACACACAUACACACACACACUCGUCCCGGUCACCGCAUUUUCGAUCCGGCGCGAAGACGCGCAAAUGGGGAUGGAGUUCCAGAUGUGUCUCCCCCCCUCUUCCGCCCUUUCCUCACCACCGACGAUCGACCUUUAUAUUUAACCCUUCUCCACGCGUGCCAAGCGUAAUUAGAGCAAAAUAAAAGAAAAAAAAAGAGAAACCAGAAACCGCAGUCCGAGUUCUAGACUUGGCGACUCUUCCAGACGAGACCGAUGGUCCCCGCUAGACGAGGACCGUAGAUUAGUCCGGAGAAGAAGAAUAAGAUGAGAGCGAAGAGACGUAGAUAGUUUUGUAGUUCGCGGAAAAUUUUCCAAGAGUAAUCGCUUGGUGCCCGCGGUCGCGCGGUACAGGGUGGAAAGGGGUUAAAUCUAAGGAGGUGCAUAACGUAAAAGUAAAAAAAAAACCGAACAUAUUAUAUACAUAUAUCAUUUCGAGUACUGUGCAUCAGAAGAUGACGAGCCUCGCGUCAAAAGGGGGAAGCGAGAAGCUCACGGCUUGCAUAUCAACCCUCGACCACGUCGGUGUUGCAGAAUUGACGUCGCAGAAUUCCCCGGGGGAUUGUGUCGUAUCGUGCCGUAUACCGUACCGUAAUUGCGCGCCGUAUCGAACGAGUUAUACGAUCGGGGAAACGAGACGACAGAUGUGUCCACGAACGGCAACGUGAAGAUAUUCGGUCGUAACGUGUCACCGGACGGGCUUACAUUUUCGCGUAACCAUCGUCGAGAAAUUGAAUCCUGCCGAAUCGACACACGCUGGGCAAAUGACAAUAGAGACGAACGCUCCUUAACAGGACUGGCAAUGAAUCUUGUUUACGAGACUUACGUUAAAAGGAAAGAAAAAAAAAAUAUCCCUCUAUCGCCAGGGGCACAUCUGAUUGAUCGAAGCGGAAGUGGGCCACAAGAAAUUUACGCUCGAGCGGGUAACAUUCUAAAUGUAAUCCUCGGGAGCCUGCCACUGCAGUUAGAAAGGCGGGGAAAGAGGGGAGGGAUGGCAUGUAGAUAGACAUAGAAAAAAGACACACACGUUUACGAUGUAAGAUUAAUCGCGCGUCUCUUUCCAGUGGACGAAUGGAUGUACAUAGCUUACUCUUUUUUUUUUUUUGGUACGAAGAGGACCCCCCCUAUACAAAGUAAGUUCGCGUACUCUCUCUCUCGCGCUAAGUGUCACGCUUACAUAGUGAAUUUAAUUAAAAUCGAACACAUCGGUGGACGAGGAAAACGCGUAAUCGAUGCGUUAAUCGCGAACAGUAAAUAAAUAACAUUGCGUAUAAAAUUACCGAUAGUCCGGGACAGACCUCGCGGACAUCUUCUGGUGAACAGGUUCUAAACGUGUACAAAAUCAAAUUGUAAUUUGGUAGCCCGUAGUGAUCCUGUAAACGGUACAGUAUUCCAGGUAGAGAGGUAUACAUAGCACUGUGUAUGUAUAAGCACGACUUACAUGUAACUUCACACAGGACACACACGUGCGUUAUGCGCGUAACAUGCGUACACACACACUAACUCGAGGUUGUAAAGAUGAGCCAUCUGUGUCGAUAAUUAAUUGUAACUUUGAGAACAAGCUAAUGGAUAAUAACUGGUUCUAGAUCUUACUAAUACAUAUCCCAUCUAUAUGUAUAUAUUUGCAAUCGCAUGAGAAAUUCAAUUGAUUAAUUAUCGAUAAUGUAAUUAUCAUUAUUCUUAUUAUUAGUGUUAUGAUUAUUUAUAGCCCGCGGCCGCGUUGCGAGUGCCGAGGGCUGAAUAAGUAUGUUAAAUGGACGUUGCGUUUAAGGCGUUAGGUUAAUGCUCGUUAGUUAGAUACUUAGGUGAUUAAUGCAGCGUAGGUACAUAUCGUUAAUAUUGUUAUUAAUUAAUGGUAUUGCGAAAGGGUAUCAAUAUCGGUGCGCUUUGAUUUCUUUUGUACACGAAGAAAGAGUUUCCGUUUGCUUCUUCAACAAAUCUUGUCUUUCAAUCGGAUUUAUUUAUUUUACUUACGAAUUUUUGUGAACAUUCAAAUUUUGUGAACUUGCCGAUUAAAGAAGGAUGCCGUUCUCAUUUAACAAUUUAAAUGAUUGGAUUAUGAUUUGUAAAAUUGGCAAGACAAGUUCGACAGAUCUCCGAAAAGAAAAAAAAAACAAUAAAAAAUUUCAUUUAAUUUAAACAUUAAUUUAAUUAAUCUGCAUGAUUAAAUUAGUGAUAUAAAUUUUUAAUUUUUAAAUUUUUCAAUUAGUACCAAUCGGCCAAAUUUUAAAAUUUUGUUUCGUACCGGAUCUUCGAUCACACGACAGUGUGUAUAAAAUAAGUUGUUUUCGUACAAAACAAGUCAAAGCGCAGUGUAGCCUUUCUAGUGAUCCCCAUCGAAUCCAAGUAUUACCGGUGACAUAUACCUGCUCCUACAUAUCAGGUUCUAGACACCCCAAGCACUACCAUGCGCCAUAUCAAUGUUUCUAAGUGUCCCCCCGUCCCUCUCGGUGUGUCCCCUCCUCGUCCUCUUACCUGUCUUUCGAUGUCCCAAAUGAAAAUUAGAGGCAUGCCGAUUAUCGAUCACUCUGUCCCCUUACUCCACUCUGCUCCACCCUCUUCCUCGCGUCCUUUAUCCUGUAUCCUCUUUACCUGCUCCUGCCCAACUUUCCCCACCUCGUUAUUGUACAUCGGAGCCGGAAGGGUCUCUAAGCUCUGUCUUCCCAUCGCUGCGUGAAAAAAAGACAAAUUAGAUGUAAUAAGAUUUGUUGACUGUGUACACGUAUACACAUUAUUAUAACGCAUCGAUCAUGUGCAUCACCAGCAUAUACACAUCCACCCAUAUUCGCACACAACACCACCAGUUCACACCACGGCGCGACGGGGAACACGAGACGACAGCCGCUGCGUCAGGAUAGCCCACUGCUGGAUCGUCAAUGCCGUGAUCGAAUUUACGUCCGUUAACUUCGAUCGCGCUCGAUCGAUAUUUUAUUUAAAAGAAUAUGUUUCCCUUCGCAUCAUAACGCUCUAUUUGUAAAUGAUAUUUCAACGCAAUGAAUUUCAUUUGUCGUCAUAUUCUUUUAAUGCAAAUUUUUUAAAAUUCUGAUAUAUUUUACUUGGACGAUCAAGUGAUCUUACGAUUGCACGAAUUUUAAUUUCCGAAAUUUAAUUUUAAAUCAGUGUGUGUGUUAUCAGUUUUACAACGCGUCGAAGUUUAACAAAACUGUCUAUAUGAUCAAAUAGCUCCCAUAAAAAAAAACCAAGGUAUGCUACUGUAAUUACCAGUUGAAUUUUAAAUUUCGCGAUUAACUCGCUUGUUCAUUUACUCCGUCGAUUGGCACAGCGCGGGUCGCAACGUUAUUGCAUCCGGCGAAGCCGCAGAAAUUAGUGCGGAUGCGAUGGACUUAGAUUAAACAAGUUUGCGAACUCCUGUUCCGGAAAGCUUGCGUUUAAUUAAUUUAAUUAAGUCCGAUACGCGGAAAGACGAUCGCAAGGUAAGCCGAGCUAGGCGGAAAUUCGCGACGCGCCGGUUAGCCAUCCAAAUUCGAUUUGGUUGCUCAUUCAAGGAAACGUCCCCAACAUCGUCGUCACACGGAUAUUCCGUAUGCUAGCCAUAAUUUCGAGUCCGGGCCGUGUCAAUCAAGCAUUGACUGUCCAUAAUGGCCUGUCGUGCCGCAGCGCGCCGUUAGGUACCCGUAAGCCACGUCGCGGGAGAAACGAUCUAUUCACACCAAAAGACACGUACACAACCGCGCUCGACGGAGAGGUACAAUAACGUGCAAUAAUGGCGCCUGAUGGGCGGCUUUCAUCACGUAUUUGAAUUUCUUUCGUUUUUUCCAGAAGGAUGUUCUCGCUGCAUAAAAGUAUUGUGAGAGCAUCGAGCUGGAUUUUCACCAUCAAUCCCUUCUUUCACCGGUUGCUGUGUAUAAAGGCAUUCAGGAAUUUCACGGUGAAAGAUGUGAUUUGGAUCACAUCCAUACAUGACACUUAUUUAACAUGAAAAUAUUUAAUAAAUUAUUCAAAAAAUACUUCAGCUCUCGAAUUGAUUUAAAUUUUAAUUUCGGCAUAUAUCGACCACCGAAAGAAAAAAAAAUAAGCCAAGAGGGGAGAAAUUCCGAAACGUGACAGAGCACGCCGCAUUGGGAAACAUCUCGGCACAAGUUUGUACGUAGAUCAACGAGAGACACGUACACUCACACACAGACACAGGACACGCUCCAACAAUGUGGUUGCUCCUAAAUACGAAAACAAAAAAAAAAUAACGAUGUAAUGUGUAUAUUAAUACUUGUAUGUCGUACGCUCUAAUGUUGUUUGAAGAGUUAUUUGCGAGUCAAUUAUCUGUGCCUAGCAGCCCUGUGCACCCUAUCAAAUGUACCACCGUUCAGAUGAAAAUGAAAUUUGCCGGGAAAACGGAAGGGAAAACGGUAGGCGAACGAAAGAGGGAGGAACGAAAAGCAAAGACGAAUUCAGGCAACACGGAAAGACGAAAGGAUAAUAAGAACAAAAAAAAAUACAGAAAAGAGAUAUGUAUAGUAUCGAGCAGAACACGACACGACACGUGUGUUUCUCACAAAUUGCACCCUGUAUACAUAGUUCGCACAAUGAUCUGUUCCUAUUUUGGAAUCAGUUUUUUCGAAUUUGCCAAGAAUGUAUAUCUACAGAUUCUAUAUGAAGAAUAUAUAUAUAGAAAAAAAAACUGGACAUGAAAUAUAAAGUAUUGAAAUCUAGUUCUGGAAUUGUUAACCCUUUCGACCAAGCGUGAUAUUUCGGGACGCGCGUCGCACCCCCGGAAAUCGAUCCCCCUUUGAACCAGGUAGCCUAAUAGAGACUUUUGUUCUUUCACACAAUCGGACAACGUGGAUGUGCGAUCUCUGCUCAUGUUUUGUGCAUCGAGAGAUAGAAAUAGCUCCAUUAGAAAGAAUGACCGUUACUUUUGUGGGAGAGAGAGAGAGAGAGAGAGAGAGAGAGAGAGAGAGAGAGAGAGGGAGAGAAUGAGAGCGGAAAUUGCGUGGAAUACGCACGUGAGGGUGAUAAGCGCCUAGCUAAAAUCCGCUAGAGAGGAACGAAUCGGGUUGAAAUUAAUUAUCAUCUUGAAGGCUUAGGUAUAUUUGAAAUCGUGGACACACAACACAUACACCACAUAUGCGCGUUAUCAUACGUCUUAUCACUUUUAAUUAUUAUAAUAUUCUUCUCUCCCAAAAUAUUUUAAAAUAAAUAUUUCAAGAUAUGUAAAAUAAA